rnacentral:lncRNA from 1 species
UUCCCGAGCCCGUUCCGCAGGAGGACGACGAAGGGGAUGCCUAGAGACUCUGUAGUCAUACGCAUAGUUUAUUUCGAGUUUCUUCUUAGUUAGUUUAAUCUUUUAUAUUUUAAGUACGUUUUUGGUUUUUCGUGUAAGGGAUGUUAACUGAAAUUUUAAUCUCGCUUCCGCAUUCGAUGUAUUUAAAUACUCAUUUCUUUUUAAUAUUU